rnacentral:misc_RNA from 1 species
UUGAAUGAAACUUCUGGCUGGGAUGUUGUUGUGCUGGCCCUUUGGGGCAAUGUGCACACCUCUGGCCAUUUGUUUCUUCUAUUCCACCUGUGCACUGCCUGUAGACACUCUGUGUCUACGAUAUACACACACACAUAUACAGAUGGUUAGGCAUAUUACAUAUAUAUAUAAAAUA